rnacentral:rRNA from 1 species
AGACGUCUACAUUAGAUACCCCGGUAGUCCUAGGCGUAAAUGAUGCGAGUUAAGUGUGGGGGCAUCUACGAGAUGGCCCUGUGCUGUAGGGUAGCCGUUAAACUCGCUGCCUGGGGAGUACGGUCGCAAGGCUGAAACUUAAAGGAAUUGGCGGGGAGCACCACAACGGGUGGAGCUUGCGGUUUAAUUGGAUUCAACGCCGGAAAUCUUACCGGGACCGACAGCAACAUGAAGGCCAGGCUGAAGACUUUGCCGGAUUAGCUG